AAAGUACUCCCUCCAUCCCAAAAUUCUUGUCUUAGAUUUGUCUAGAUACGGAUGUAUCAAGUCACAUUUUAGUAUUAGAUACAUACGUAUCUAGACAAAUCUAAGACAAGAAAUUUGGGACAGAGGGAGUAGUUG
rnacentral:pre_miRNA from 1 species